UUAUUAAGUCUUUCCACUUUUCUGUGGAAAGACUUAUUGUUUUUGUUCUGAUUAUUAGGUCUUUCCACCUUUCCGUGGAAAGACCUAUAGGUUUUGUUCUGAUUAUUAUUAUUAUUUUUUUUCUUCCGCCUAAUUCUUUUCUUGCGUAAUAUUGAUGUUUCAAAAGAUGUCGCUUAGAUAUUUGGAAUAUGAUAUCAUAUAGUUUAUACGCUUUAAAUACUGACAAUGGCGUAUCAAAAUACUUAACGUUGUAAGAGUUAUCUCCCCAAACACUGUUUUUCUUGUGGCCACUACUCCUUCGCAACCGUAAAAGAUUAUGACAAAAUUAUUUUACCAAAUUGCUCGUUACAUCUUCAGGAUUAGGAUUUUAAUUUUGACCGAAGCUAUCCGGAGACUCCAUAUGAGAGUUAUUCCCCCUUAUGUAUUUGAUAUAGGUGAUAUGCGUUUCUAACUUGUAAACUAUAAGUGAUAGAGACCUAGGGUCUUCAGAUUUGAGAUCCUUAGUCCAAAAAAAUGAAAAUCAGGUCAAGGUCAAAGGUCAAGGUCAUAUUCUAAAAUUUGAUUUUGGCUUAUUUUCACUUAUUUUUAAAUACCGUAUGACAUAUCGACAAAUAUUUUUUCCAAAAUUGUUAGUUGCGACAUGUCCUUACUUGUAUAUUUUGGUUGAAAGGGUGCGCACACAAGAAAUGGGAGUUUUUGUCCAUCUUACAUUUAGAAUUACGCGUAAAGUGGUAUUACUCAUUAACCAAACAUAUUAAAGACCUAGGGUCUUUUGAUUUAAGGUCCUUGGUUUGUGACCUUGAAAUUGAGGUCAAGGUCAUAGGUUUAUACAACGUUCUAGAUUUUGACCUUUGCUUUAAAUUCAUAUAAAUACAUCAUAAAGCCAUAGGAACUAACAUUUGAAACUGAUUUUUCAUAUUUCAAUAUCAAAAUAGAUCUUUACAAGUGGAAAGACCUACAAUUGUUCUCUGAACAAUUGGUUUUUAAUUAUUAUUAUUAUUAUUAUUAUUAUUUUUUUUUUUCUUCCGCCUAAUUUUUUUCUUGCGUAGUAUUGUUGUUUAAUAAGUUGUCGCUUAGAUAUUUGGAAUAUGAUAUGGUAUAGUUUAUACGCUUUAAAAAUUUACAACUGCGUAACAAAAUACUUUACGUUGUAAGAGUUAUCUCCCCAAACACUGUUUUUCUUGUGGCCACUACUCCUUCGCAACCGUAAAAGAUUACGACAAAAUUAUUUUACCAAAUUGCUCGUUACAUCUUCAGGAUUAGGAUUUUAAUUUUGACUGAAGCUAUCCAGAGACUCCAUAUGAGAGUUAUUCCCCCUUAUGUAUGUGAUAUAGGUGAUAUGCGUUUCUAACUGGUAAACCAUCAGUGAUAUAGGGCUACGGUGUUUGGAUUUAAGUUCCUUGGUCCAAAAAAAUGAAAAUAAGGUCAAGGUCAAAGGUCAAGGUCAUAUUCUAAAUUUUGAUUUUGGCUUAUUUUCUCUUAUUUUCAACAACCGUGAAAGAUAUUGACAAAUUAUUUUUACUAAAUUGUGAGUUUUGACAUAUUGUAACUUAUAAAUUUUGGUUGGAAGGGUGCGUAAACAAUAAAUGAGAGUUUUCGCCCAUCUUAUAUUUAAAAUCAUGCCUAAAGUGAUAUAACUCAUUAACCAUACAUAUUAAAGACCUAGGGUCUUUUUAUUUGAGGUCCUUGGUUGGUGACCUUGAAAUUGAGGUCAAGGUCAAAGUUAAUAGGACGUUCUAGAUUUUGACCUUUGCUUUAAAUUCAUAUUUAUACAUUAUAAAGUCAUAGGAACUGACAUUUUAGAUUGAUUUUUAAUAUUUUGAUUAUAAAAUAGAUUUUUACUUGUGGAAAGACCUUCAAUUGUUCUUUGAAUUAUUAGGUCUUUCCACCUUUCCGUGGAAAGACCUAUUGAAUUUGUUCUGAUUAUUAUUAUUAUUAUUAUUUUUUUUUUUUUUUUCUUCCGCCUAAUUUUUUUUCUUGCGUAUUAUUGAUGUUUCAAAAGAUGUCGCUUAGAUAUUUGGAAUAUGGUAUCGUAUAGUUUAUACGCUUUAAAAAUUUACAACUGUGUAACAAAAUACUUUACGUUGUAAGAGUUAUCUCCCCAAACACUGUUUUUCUUGUGGCCACUACUCCUUCGCAACCGUUAAAGAUUACGACAAAUUUAUUUUACCAAAUUGCUCGUUACAUCUUCAGCAUUAGGAUAUUCAUUUGGACCGAAGCUUUACGGAGACUCCAUAUGAGAGUUAUUCCCCCUUUUCCCUUAAAUAAAGUGAUAUGCAUUUCUAAAUGGUAAACCAUAAGUGAUAAAGACAUAGGGUCUUUAGAUUUGGGGUCCUUGGUCGAAAAUAAUAAAAAUGAGGUCAAGGUCAAAGGUCAAGGUCAUAUUCUAAAUUUUGAUUUUGGCUUAU
rnacentral:lncRNA from 1 species